rnacentral:rRNA from 1 species
CAGCCGCCGCGGGAAUACGAAGGGGGCUAGCGUUGCUCGGAAUUACUGGGCGUAAAGGGCGCGUAGGCGGAUGUUUAAGUCAGAGGUGAAAGCCCAGGGCUCAACCUUGGAGCUGCCUUUGAUACUGGACAUCUUGAGUGUGGGAGAGGUGAGUGGAACUCCGAGUGUAGAGGUGAAAUUCGUAGAUAUUCGGAAGAACACCAGUGGCGAAGGCGACUCACUGGCCCAUUACUGACGCUGAGGCACGAAAGCGUGGGGGGCAAACAGGAUUAGAUACCCGCGUAGUCCCUGUCUCUUAUAC